GUCAUAUUGUCGAAAUAUGUAUUUGACUAUUCACAUGAUUUACUGCACUUUAAUUACAGUUUUUGCGUUUUUGCCUUUUAUUUUGAAAACUAUAAUUGAUAAAGAGAUCAGCAGGAAAAGAUUAACAAUUGUUUGUCAACUGUAUUAAUAAAAUUGAGAAUGGAAAUGGGGAAUGUGUCACUGAGACAACAACCCGACAAUAGAAAAAAACAACAGCAGAAGAUCACCAACAGGUCUUUAAUGUAGCGAGAAAUUCCCGCACCCGGAGGCCAAUUAAUGGCAAUGUUUAUAAUUCGACCUACGGAUUUUUUUGCAUCCCUAUAUCACCCUUUUUUAAUUGAUCAAAAUCAUGGAAAAUCAUGGAAAAUUGUAAAUGAAAAAAAAAUGUCCCAUCGUGUCAUACAUUUGCCUCAUAAUUCUGGUAUCAGCAAUAGCACCAUUUCCUGCAAUAUGACACCAAAAUCUCGAUUUAAAGUGGCUUUUGUCCAAACAAAUUCACGUCGGUGACAUAUAAAAGUUGUAAUUAUUCAAACUUCUCUUUAACUGGUAUAGAAUAAUGCUAUAUCAAUAAAUACAGUUCCCGAUCUUCAGACAAUAAGUCAUUCGUAUCUUAAAACUAAGAAUGUAUCGUUAUAGUAUAUUUUCUAAUUUAAACGGAAGCAGUUGAUAUAAACCGGAAGCAACUGAUAACAAAAGUCGUAUCACACGGCUAAGACAAUUCUUCAAAUUUAAUGAAUAAAUACAUAUACAAAUAAGUUUUAUCAUUGGUUACAAUAAUACCG
rnacentral:lncRNA from 1 species